CACGUAGGGCGCAAGCGUUGUCCGGAAUUAUUUGGGCGUAAAGAGCUCGUAGGUGGUCUGUUGCGUCCGCUGUGAAAACUCGGGGCUUAACCCCGAGCCUGCAGUGGAUACGGGCAGACUAGAGGUAGGUAGGGGAGAAUGGAAUUCCUGGUGUAGCGGUGAAAUGCGCAGAUAUCAGGAGGAACACCGGUGGCGAAGGCGGUUCUCUGGGCAUUACCUGACGUGAGGAGCGAAAGUGUGGGGAGCGAACAGG
rnacentral:rRNA from 1 species